rnacentral:tRNA from 1 species
GGGAGUAUAGCUCAGUGGUAGAGCGUUCGACUGGAGAUCGAGAGGUCCCCGGUUCGAAUCCGUGGGUUUUCU